rnacentral:rRNA from 2 species
CCACCACCAAAGCAUUUGCUGUACCGCGUUGACGGAGCGAAGCGACGUCAAACCGAUAAAACAGCAGUGUAAAGUGAGCCGCAGGGCGCUUUGCGCGACAGCGCAAAGGCAGGCGGUUUCGCGUAGCGAAAGCGAAUGCUUUGGGGUGGGGUGACUGCGUACCUUUUGUAUAAUGGGUCAGCGACUUAUAUUCUGUAGCAAGGUUAACCGAAUAGGGGAGCCGGAGGGAAACCGAGUCUUAAUUGGGCGUUAAGUUGCAGGGUAUAGACCCGAAACCCGGUGAUCUAGCCAUGGGCAGGUUGAAGGUUGGGUAACACUAACUGGAGGACCGAACCGACUAAUGUUGAAAAAUUAGCGGAUGACCUGUGGCUGGGGGUGAAAGGCCAAUCAAACCGGGAGAUAGCUGGUUCUCCCCGAAAGCUAUUUAGGUAGCGCCUCGUGAAUUCAUCUCCGGGGGUAGAGCACUGUUUCGGCUAGGGGGCCAUCCCGGCUUACCAACCCGAUGCAAACUGCGAAUACCGGAGAAUGUUAUCACGGGAGACACACGGCGGGUGCUAACGUCCGUCGUGAAGAGGGAAACAACCCAGACCGCCAGCUAAGGUCCCAAAGUCAUGGUUAAGUGGGAAACGAUGUGGGAAGGCCCAGACAGCCAGGAUGUUGGCUUAGAAGCAGCCAUCAUUUAAAGAAAGCGUAAUAGCUCACUGGUCGAGUCGGCCUGCGCGGAAGAUGUAACGGGGCUAAACCAUGCACCGAAGCUGCGGCAGCGACACUGUGUGUUGUUGGGUAGGGGAGCGUUCUGUAAGCCUGUGAAGGUGUGUCGUGAGGCAUGCUGGAGGUAUCAGAAGUGCGAAUGCUGACAUAAGUAACGAUAAAGCGGGUGAAAAGCCCGCUCGCCGGAAGACCAAGGGUUCCUGUCCAACGUUAAUCGGGGCAGGGUGAGUCGACCCCUAAGGCGAGGCCGAAAGGCGUAGUCGAUGGGAAACGGGUUAAUAUUCCCGUACUUGGUGUUACUGCGAAGGGGGGACGGAGAAGGCUAUGUUGGCCGGGCGACGGUUGUCCCGGUUUAAGCGUGUAGGUGUGUGUUCCAGGUAAAUCCGGUUCACUUUAACACUGAGGCGUGACGACGAGGCACUACGGUGCUGAAGCAACAAAUGCCCUGCUUCCAGGAAAAGCCUCUAAGCAUCAGGUAACAUCAAAUCGUACCCCAAACCGACACAGGUGGUCAGGUAGAGAAUACCAAGGCGCUUGAGAGAACUCGGGUGAAGGAACUAGGCAAAAUGGUGCCGUAACUUCGGGAGAAGGCACGCUGACACGUAGGUGAAGUGAUUUACUCAUGGAGCUGAAGUCAGUCGAAGAUACCAGCUGGCUGCAACUGUUUAUUAAAAACACAGCACUGUGCAAACACGAAAGUGGACGUAUACGGUGUGACGCCUGCCCGGUGCCGGAAGGUUAAUUGAUGGGGUCAGCGCAAGCGAAGCUCCUGAUCGAAGCCCCGGUAAACGGCGGCCGUAACUAUAACGGUCCUAAGGUAGCGAAAUUCCUUGUCGGGUAAGUUCCGACCUGCACGAAUGGCGUAAUGAUGGCCAGGCUGUCUCCACCCGAGACUCAGUGAAAUUGAACUCGCUGUGAAGAUGCAGUGUACCCGCGGCAAGACGGAAAGACCCCGUGAACCUUUACUAUAGCUUGACACUGAACAUUGAGCCUUGAUGUGUAGGAUAGGUGGGAGGCUUUGAAGUGUGGACGCCAGUCUGCAUGGAGCCGACCUUGAAAUACCACCCUUUAAUGUUUGAUGUUCUAACGUGGACCCGUUACCCGGGUUGCGGACAGUGUCUGGUGGGUAGUUUGACUGGGGCGGUCUCCUCCUAAAGAGUAACGGAGGAGCACGA